GACGAACGCUGGCGGCGUGCCUAAUACAUGCAAGUCGAGCGGACGAAUCGAAAGCUUGCUUUUGAUUCGUUAGCGGCGGACGGGUGAGUAACACGUGGGCAACCUGCCCUGUAGACGGGGAUAACACCGAGAAAUCGGUGCUAAUACCGGAUAACACGAAAUGUCGCAUGACGUUUCGUUGAAAGACGGCGCAAGCUGCCGCUACAGGAUGGGCCCGCGGCGCCUUAGCUAGUUGGUGAGGUAACGGCUCACCAAGGCGACGAUACGUAGCCGACCUGAGAGGGUGAUCGGCCACACUGGGACUGAGACACGGCCCAGACUCCUACGGGAGGCAGCAGUAGGGAAUCUUCCGCAAUGGACGAAAGUCUGACGGAGCAACGCCGCGUGAGCGAAGAAGGCCUUCGGGUCGUAAAGCUCUGUUGUUAGGGAAGAACAAGUAACGCAGUAACUGGCGUUACCGUGACGGUACCUAACGAGAAAGCCACGGCUAACUACGUG
rnacentral:rRNA from 1 species